UGAAGGCGGGCCGGAAUCUCUCGGGGUUACAGCCUUGCUGAAUUAUUCACCCUUGUCUUUUGCGUACUUCUUGUUUCCUUGGUGGGUUCGCCCACCACUAGGACAAACAUAAACCUUUUGUAAUUGCAAUCAGCGUCAGUAACAAAUUAAUAAUUACAACUUUCAACAACGGAUCUCUUGGUUCUGGCAUCGAUGAAGAACGCAGCGAAAUGCGAUAAGUAGUGUGAAUUGCAGAAUUCAGUGAAUCAUCGAAUCUUUGAACGCACAUUGCGCCCUUUGGUAUUCCAAAGGGCAUGCCUGUUCGAGCGUCAUUUGUACCCUCAAGCCUUGCUUGGUGUUGGGCGUCUUGUCUCUAGCUUUGCUGGAGACUCGCCUUAAAGUAAUUGGCAGCCGGCCUACUGGUUUCGGAGCGCAGCACAAGUCGCACUCUCUAUCAGCAAAGGUCUAGCAUCCAUUAAGCCUUUUUUCAACUUUUGACCUCGGAUCAGGUAGGGAUACCCGCUGAACUUAAGCAUAUCAAUAAGCGGAGGAAAU
rnacentral:rRNA from 1 species